rnacentral:ncRNA from 1 species
CUACGGACUUGAUUGUAUUGAGCCUUGGUAUGGAAACCUGCUAAGUGGUAACUUCCAAAUUCAGAGAAACCCUGGAAUUAAAAAAGGGCAAUCCUGAGCCAAAUCCGUGUUUUGAGAAAACAAGGGGUUCUCGAACUAGAAUACAAAGGAAAAGGAUAGGUGCAGAGACUCAAUGGAAGCUGUUCUAACGAAUCGAGUUAAUUACGUUGUGUUGUUAGUGGAAUUCCUUCUAAUUCUAAAUUAGAGAAAGAGGG